rnacentral:rRNA from 1 species
UACCAGCACCCCGAGUGGUCGGGACGAUUAUUGGGUCUAAAGCAUCCGUAGCCGGUUCUGCAAGUCCCCCGUUAAAUCCAGCUGCUCAACAGAUGGGCCGCGGAGGAUACUACAGAGCUAGGAGGCAGGAGAGGCAAGCGGUACUCAGUGGGUAGGGGUAAAAUCCGUUGAUCCAUUGAAGACCACCAGUGGCGAAGGCGGCUUGCCAGAAUGCGCUCGACGGUGAGGGAUGAAAGCUGGGGGAGCAAACCGG